UGCUUGGAAAGUCAGUGUGGGAACCUUUUUCCAAGUUUCAUUUCUUUUUGUUUUGUUUCCUUUAUGUUCAUGACAGAGUCCAAAGACAGAAAGAACCAAAGUCAGCAUCGUACAGAACAUCCUCAUUGCCCUGAAAGCCAUCUAUGUUUUGUGCAGCCAGUCCCUCCUCCGUGCUUCCCAAGCCUCAGGUGACCACUGACCUUUUCGCUUUUGCCUCUGCGGGACUGGUGAGCAGAACUGUGUACAGGAUGAACAGAACCCUGCAGUAGGCGGCCUUUCAGACUGCCUCGUCCCACUCAGAAACAUGUAUGUAAAGAAGAGGACCAAACUCAUGGAGAAGAAGCCAAGAUUAUCCUCAAAAGGAAAAAUCCUAUAGAAGUAAAAUUUCAGUUAUCAGGAAACAGUAGAAUGUGGGAGAAAGGAAGAGCCUGGGGACUGCCAUACGGACUCCCUUAGAACAGAUGCCUUCAUCCAGCAGUGUUUAUGAAGCCUUCCUGCACAGUAGGAGAGAGCAGCCGGGGUGCUGGACAAGAAGGUCCUGGCUCUUAGGCGCUUCUGAGCGAGGAAAUGCAUUUGGCCGUGAGUGUGUGGGUAGCUGCUGCAACAUUCUUCUGUGGUCAUGUCAC